UAUUAAACCCCUGGGUAGUACUCAAACCAAUAUAAAAUGGCGGUCUUAUUUAACUAGAGAAACUCGCUUUUUAAUCGAAAACACCCGCUAAAUCUAACUUUAUUAAAAAGUUUAUAUACCGCCGUUAAAGAGUUAAAAACAAUCUUAAACACUUCAAAUAAUACUAUUUAAAAUCAGGUCAAGGUGUAACUAAUAAUAAAGGAAAAGUAAGUUACAUUAAAAACAAUUUAAGGAUAAUAAUAAAAAUAAACGUGAAAAAGAAUUUACAUGUACAUACUGAUUAAAAAUUAGUAUUGAAUAAAGAUUAUAAGAUGC
rnacentral:rRNA from 1 species